GUCUCUGAGAAAGAGCUGUCUUCCCAACACCUGGACAGGUAACUCUCAAUAACAGAUUGCUCAUCACUUGUUAUGCAACUAAAAAGGCUGUUGUUUUUGUUCCAGAUGCUGUCAAACAAGAGAAGAGAUGUCUGAGUUCUCCGGAGAAAUGCAUACUGUGUUUGCCCACCUGAAGUGGAUCUGGUCCAAAUACACACCUGUGAAUCUCAUCUCAGCCAAUUACCAUCCAAAUAAGCAUCAGCUGGGAGCUGGAAUGGCCGGAUUAUGAAAAUGCAGGAACUCUGCUCUGUUAUUAUGAAAUAAAAUGUCAGAGACUCAAUGAAUUAACCGUAAAAGGGAUUCAGGCUUCACGAUCUUGUUGCAUUAAAGAGAGUCACAUCUCCUGCUGCUACUGACCCCGUCUGACAACGAGACUAACCGUGACUUACAUCAUCAAAAAGGAUGAAUCAUCUUAUCACAGUCAAAGUGUCUUUGAAAGUCAAGAGGUGCUAAACUACCCUAUCCAUUUAUAACUCUGAGUAACAAACAGAAUAAUUAUUCUGUACAGCCACUGAAAUAUUAUUUAUAGAGCAUUUCUUUAGGAGUUGAUUUAAAAAUGUUGUCCUUAUCAAUGGCAGGUAGGUGUAGAUUUACAUUAGCAAGCACUUAAAGUCCCCCUGUGGUGAAAAUCAAGUUUUUAAUGUUGUUUAAGGCAAACCAUGUGCAAAUUCAUAAAUCAACACCAUUGCUGAGUAUUUUCUAUUUAAAACUGCAGUGAUCUAAAGACAGUUCAAAAAUGCGGUUUGAAAUCACUGGUGUUUCUGACGUCACAAACUUGUAACCAAUCACGUCAACGUGCCGGCGGGCUUUAGCAUAUCAUUAACCAUGAGUGCUCUGAAGCAGGAGUCUCAAAAAGCCAGGUUAUUCCAGUAUAUUUUUCUGUUGAUAUAAAAAAAUCAUGUAGAUUUAGCAAUAUGGCGGGUGUCUGAUGUAUAUUACGAUGCUAUGAUGCUUCUCCACUGACGUUCUAAAGUGUUCAAAGCGUUUCUAAGGAUACUGAUUUUUAGAAGACAGCUGUCUGACUUGCGAACGGGAACACGGUUUGUUUGUGUAACAUUAGCAACACAUUAUUAGCAGCUGUUUGAUAAUGUAGUCAAGCAAAAGGCUAAUCAUAUUAAUUACCGUUAUGUGUCCGACGUUGUAAAAAACGAUACCAUUGUGCAGUGUUUACUACAGUAAGUUGACCAAGUGGAUCUCUGAGCUUGUGCGAGUGAGUGGAGGCGGGGCUAAUUAGCAUAUUCAUAGUUCCACGUAUAAUAAAUGAAGCAAGGGUGUAGAGUUACAUUCAAGAUAUUUUAAGAUGAGAAGAAUUUUUUUUUUCCACAGGAAAAAAUAGGAAUAAAUGUAUCAUUUUGGUGAUCAAAGAUGAGUUUUAAGGUAUAAAAUUAUUCACUACAGGGGGACUUUAAAUUGAAAGCACACACUUUUCUAAGUAUAAACCUCUGCAAAACAGUGGUUUAAACAUGAGGGAUUCACAAUAUAAAGAAUAAUUCACCCAAACAGGA